UCCCCUCUUCUAAAAAAAAAUCUGCCGGAGUUUAAUAAAGGCGGCCAUCCCAUUCCCUAUCUUGUCUCAAUGCUCUCACAGGCAGUGAUAGAGAUACUAUGAAAAGAGAGAGUGAAAAGAGAGAAAAGAGAGGGAAGGAACAGAACAAACUAGAUUUUAUUUUGAAUUCAAUUUUGUUAUGGUUUUGCGAUAGUUUAAAGUUUGUGUUAUGUAGUUUUGUUGGAGCUUAGUCCAUGUAUCGCCGCUGUCGAUGAUGAAAGGUUGGUGAUUAUUCGGCGUCGGAACAUGAUUUGUGUUCCUGAAGGCGGCUCUAUGGCUAUGCGAGACUGGAACUGCCAUGGGCCAAUGCUUUUUGGUGGUUGCCGAUGCUGUUUUAUUGGGGCUCUGUUUUCGUUCCAUUCUCUUCUUGAUUCUCCUUGGUGGAUGUGUCAAUUGAGGUGGUUUUCCUUUACCGAAUCCGCUAGCAUAUGCUCGCUUUAUGGUGUAUUUCACCGUUGUGGCUGGCGAAGCUGAUGAUCAAUUGUCAGUGACGGGUCAGUUGAUGGUGGCGAUGGAACCUGUGUGCUAGAUAUGCGGUUUUGGAUGUGUGGUUUUGCCUGAUUUCCAGGUGGUUGUUUGGGUUGGAUUUCCAACUAGUGCUUUGGGCCAAAUUUCUGACUGUGGGCCUUGACUCUGUUUUGGGCUUUCUUAGUCGGGGUAGUUUUAAUAGGGAAGAGAUAGGAUUUGGAUGUGGGCUUCUUUGGUUUGUGGGCUUGGGCUUGGUCUAUGUUUUAUGCAACACCUCUCAAGGUGUAGACAGAGCAAGAAUUACAUGCUUUCUUAUAUAUUUCAAAACUAAACCUUUUCCUCUA